rnacentral:tRNA from 3 species
GGGCGCAUAGUUCAGCGGAGAGCGUUCGCUUCACACGCGAGAGAUCCAUGGUUCGAUCCCAUGUGCGCCCACCA